rnacentral:rRNA from 1 species
UACGGAGGGUGCAAGCGUUAAUCGGAAUUACUGGGCGUAAAGCGUGCGUAGGCGGUGAUUUAAGUCAGAUGUGAAAGCCCCGGGCUUAACCUGGGAACUGCAUUUGAUACUGGGUUACUAGAGUUUGAUAGAGGAGAGUGGAAUUUCCGGUGUAGCGGUGAAAUGCGUAGAUAUCGGAAGGAACACCAGUGGCGAAGGCGGCUCUCUGGAUCAAAACUGACGCUGAGGUACGAAAGCGUGGGUAGCAAAC